rnacentral:misc_RNA from 1 species
AGUGAGCUGACAGGUUCUAAAAAUGGCCAUUCCUUGUUGAGUGAUUGUGCACAUUCGUCCGGAUUACGUAGUGAAAAUUGCCUGUUUAAGGUACCUGAAGCUCAAGGAGACGAUAACAAUGACAACCAAAAAAAUGAAAUGUUGUAUGAACUACCUCAAGGUAAAAGGUACCACAUGUUCAUUUCCCAUGCAGCGGAGGAAGAAACUCAAGCAAAACUGAUUGGUAGAGCCCUUGAGAGUAGAUUUCUUCUCCGAUGCUUGAUUUCUGCUCGGGAUUCUACAUCUGACCAAACAAUGUAUGACAAUAUACACCACGAGCUUAUGAAAAGCAUCAGUGUAUUGUUACUGUUGAGUCCUAAUUUUUUCAAAAGCAAACUGUGUGACGUUGAAGCACGGCUGGCUGUUCAACUGUCUUAUGACCUGAACAUAAAUUUAAAAAUUAUUCCAGUUCUUUUACAGGAUCUAAAUUCGGACACUGAAUUACCACUGUUUCUACAACCUUUCGCAUGUAUCGAUGCACUGAGGGAAGUCGACUGUUCUGCUCAAAUCAAAGAAGCGUUUUACAAAUCAGUGAGUGAAAUCAUGGGAGCAGAGAGUGCAAAAAUUCCCUUGAGAAAAGAUAGACCCCGAACAGAAAUAACUGAUAUGAAAGAAAAGUGUGUAUCACUAGUGACUGCCACUCAGAAGAAUACAUGUGACAAAGAAGAAAACUAUAAGAUGUGUUAUGAACUGCCUCCUGGUAAAAAGUAUCAUCUCUAUAUAGCUCAUUCGGCCGUAGACGAAACAAAGGUCAUACAAAUAUCCAACGACCUUGAGAAUAGAUUUAAUUUACGAUGCAUGGUACCAGUUCUUGAUUUUAUACCUGGAAAAUCGAUCAGAGAGAAUAUACAUGGCGAGAUGGAAAAAAGCGUCAAUGUUCUGCUUUUUCUUAGCCCUGAAUUUAUAAGUAGUUACUUUGGUGAUAUGGAAGCCCGGCUGGCGGUUCAAAUGGCCUAUGACCAGAAUUUUGAUUUAAGAAUAAUUCCUGUAAUUUUACGGGAUUUAAAUGGAGACAGCGAUUUACCACCGUUCUUAAAACCGUUCGCUUGCAUUGAUGCUGAGGAGGAAGACGACUGCCCUGCUAAAAUAGCCGAAGCAUUCUACUAUACAGGUAUCAUUUAAAUCGAUAUUUUCUUUUGAGAAUGCUCUUGUAUAAUUCAUUUUUGCCCCUCCCUCUCUCUAACCUCUUUCUCUCUAUAUCUGAUUUAAUUAGAGGAUCUUGACUUCUUUUUAUUAAAAUUAAGUCUUAGUCCCUUUUUUCGUUAGAUUGAAAUUCUCACUGCUUUUUUACAUGUAUAACAUCUUAUCAAAAUUAAUAGAGCUCACAUCUGUUAUAGUUAAUUAAUGAUAUUAUGCAAGCUUCUGCCGAUCGGAGCAACAACCUUUUCAAUUAUUACACUAGCUUGAAUAAGUUUGCAACUUGUUACACUUACCUAUAUUUUUUUAUCAUGGUAUCAUGUCAAAUUAUAUCAUAUUUUUUUCUAUGAUGCAAGACAAAUAUACAUGCAUGUAAAGCAUACGUAAAUAAAAUGUACAAUAUUUCAAAGUAACAAUGAAAAUAUUAUUCAAAAUUGUUUAAAUAUGUGAAGUGUAAUUGAGGAAAAUAAAACAUCUCAGUUG